rnacentral:sRNA from 1 species
UAACAGUACCACUUUACGGCGCUGUCCGC